UUGAGACUGCGGAGGUCUUACCAUACAAGCCGGCCGGUUUGCUGUUGCAGCUCGUUCGAAAGAGCGGUUGCGCUGUCUUCCGGUUGGUGAGCCAGCACCCGCCUCCCCGCAAGGGGCAGGUUUGGGUACCUGGUAAACCCUUUGUGAACCAAAACAAACCUUUCGCUUCGGCAGCUGGGUCCCGCUCGGGACCCGUCAGCCUGCCGCUAGCACCAAACAAAAAACUUGUUGUCAAAACAUUGUCUGAUAACCAAAUUUUCGAAUGAAAAUCAAAACUUUCAACAACGGAUCUCUUGGUUCCCGCAUCGAUGAAGAACGCAGCGAAACGCGAUAGUUAAUGUGAAUUGCAGAAUUCAGUGAAUCAUCGAGUCUUUGAACGCACAUUGCGCCCAUUGGUAUUCCUUUGGGCAUGUCUGUUUGAGCGUCAUUACAACCCUCAGCUACCCGCUGGUUUUGAACCCGAACGGUACCCCCCUUUAACCGGGGGAACCGAGCCGGUUUUAAAGUUGUAAGCUCUGCUGGCCGCUCCGCCCAACCAGAACAUAGUAAAACUACUACUUUUGUUAGGGUCAAGUGGAACGGUUUUUCGGCCUGAACAAAACCUACCCAUUUCUCAAGGUUUGACCUCAGAUCAGACAAGGAUACCCGCUGAACUUAAGCAUACAAAGCUUCGGAGGAACGGACCCCCCCGGGUUUGCCUUUUUACCGUCUUUAUGUAUCAAACACAGCUCAAAUUUGAAAUCUGGAGUCUUUCGGCUUCCGAGUUGUAAUUUGAAGAGGAUGUUUCUGUGCGACCUGAGCCUUGUUACGACGUUUACAUCCAUACUUCCAGG
rnacentral:rRNA from 1 species